AGAGUUUUGAUCCUGGCUCAGGACGAACGCUGGCGGCGUGCUUAACACAUGCAAGUCGAACGGUGAAGGGGAGCUUGCUUCCUGGAUCAGUGGCGAACGGGUGAGUAACACGUGAGCAACCUACCCUUGACUCUGGGGAUAACAGUUGGAAACAGCUGCUAAUACCGGAUAUGACCCCUGUAGGCAUCUGUGGGGGUGGAAAGCUUUUACGGUCAAGGAUGGGCUCGCGGCCUAUCAGCUUGUUGGUGAGGUAAUGGCUCACCAAGGCGUCGACGGGUAGCCGGCCUGAGAGGGCGACCGGCCACACUGGGACUGAGAUACGGCCCAGACUCCUACGGGAGGCAGCAGUGGGGAAUAUUGCGCAAUGGGCGAAAGCCUGACGCAGCAACGCCGCGUGCGGGAUGACGGCCUUCGGGUUGUAAACCGCUUUCAGCAGGGACGAAGGGUUACCUUGACGGUACCUGCAGAAGAAGCACCGGCUAACUACGU
rnacentral:rRNA from 1 species